UACGAAGGGUCCAAGCGUUGUUCGGAAUCAUUGGGCGUAAAGCGCGCGCAGGCGGGUUAGCAAGUCAGAUGUGAAAUCCCGGGGCUCAACCUCGGAACUGCCUUUGAUACUGCAAGUCUCGAGUCCGAUAGAGGUGGGUGGAAUUCCUAGUGUAGAGGUGAAAUUCGUAGAUAUUAGGAAGAACACCGGUGGCGAAGGCGGCCCACUGGAUCGGUACUGACGCUGAGGUGCGAAAGCGUGGGGAGCAAACAGG
rnacentral:rRNA from 1 species